rnacentral:misc_RNA from 1 species
AACGCACGAGACCUGCGGACCUGCGGAGGGAUCAUUACUGAAGGAUAAAUGGGGUUUGAGACUGCGUCAGUAAUGGCGUGUGCUCGAUCCCACAUACAUUUGACACCUUUUUGUGCACGAAUGGGGGGAGUUUGCUCCCUUGAUUUUUAAAUACCGUAUAUGCAUGUCAUACUCUAAGGAGUAAUAUACAACUUUCAACAACGGAUCUCU